rnacentral:rRNA from 1 species
AAUUAAAAUUUUAUUUAAAAUAAUUUAUUUUAAAUUUAUUUUUAAUUAAAAUAUAAUUAAUUUAUUUUUAUUUAAGUAUAUAAAAGAAAAAAUAUAUAUAUAUAAUGAUAGUUUAUUAGUAAUGUAAAUGAAUUUAUUUAGUUAAAUUAAAGAAUUUUUUAUUUAAAGUACCUUUUGUAUCAGGGUUUAUUUAAUAAAUAAUUAAAAUUUUAAUUAUUCUCGAAUUUAAAAGAUUUAAUUUAUUAUUUUUUAAAAUUGUAAAAUAAUAUUUAUAUAAUAAUAAAUUGGUAAUAAAAUGUUAUUCGUUUUUAAAUAUAUCUAGUUUUUUUAGAAAAAAAUUUAAUUUUAUUAUAAAUUAUUAUUUAAAUUAAAAAUUAAAUUUAAAUAUUUAUUUAUAAAAAAAUUUUUAGGGAUAAGCUUAAAAAUUAAGUUAUAUUAAUAAUAAUAAAUUAAAUUAAAUUUAUGAUUAGAAAUUUCAAUAAUAUGGAUAAUUUUAUAAUUUAUUUAUAAAAAUUAUAAUUUUUAUUAAAAUUAAUUUAUGAAUAAAAAUAUUUAAUUUCAUUAUAAAUUAAAUUUAUAAUGAUAAAAUUAGUAUAUUUAAUAUAAUUAGAUUUUAUAAUUUUUAAUAAAUAAAAAUAAGGAAUUCGGCAAUAUAAUUGCUCGCCUGUUUAUCAAAAACAUGGUUUUUUGCUUAUAAUUUAAAAUUUAAUCUGCCCACUGAUUAAUUAAAGGGCCGCAGUAUAUUGACUGUGCAAAGGUAGCAUAAUCAUUUGUUUCUUAAUUGUUGACUUGUAUGAAUGAUUGGACGAGGUAAUUACUGUCUCAUUUUUAUUUAAAAUAAAAUUUUAUUUUUAAGUUAAAAAGCUUAAAUAAAAUUUAAGGACGAGAAGACCCUAUAGAGUUUAAUUAAUUUAGUAAAAAUUUUUGUUUUUGAAUUUAAAUUAUUUUUAUAAUAAUUAAUUUAAUUGGGGUGAUUAAAAAAUUUAAUAAACUUUUUAAAUAUUUACUCAAAAAAUUUUGUUUAGUUUUGAUCCAAAUUUUUUGAUUAAUUGAUUAAAUUACCUUAGGGAUAACAGCGUUAUUAUUUUGGAAAGUUCAUAUUUAUAAAAUAGUUUGCGACCUCGAUGUUGAAUUAAGAUAAAUUUUUGGUGCAGUAAUUAAAAUUUUUAGUCUGUUCGACUAUUAAAUUCUUACAUGAUUUGAGUUCAAACCGGUGUGAGCCAGGUUGGUUUCUAUCCUAAAUUAUAUAAAAUAUUUUAGUACGAAAGGACCAUAUAUUUAAUUAAUAAUUUAAUUAUGA